UACGUAGGUGGCGAGCGUUAUCCGGAAUGAUUGGGCGUAAAGGGUGCGUAGGCGGCCUGCUAAGUCUGGAGUGAAAGGUACCGGCUCAACCGGUACAGGCUCUGGAAACUGGCGGGCUAGAGAGCAGGAGAGGGCGGUGGAACUCCAUGUGUAGCGGUAAAAUGCGUAGAUAUAUGGAGGAACACCAGUUGCGAAGGCGGCUCUCUGGACUGUAACUGACACUGAGGCACGAAAGCGUGGGGAGCAAACAGG
rnacentral:rRNA from 1 species